CCGACCCCUGGUCUACGGCGGCUGCGAUUUGCAAAACCUCGUCGGGCGAAACACCGGGCGCGGGCACGGUUUCGACGACCUUGGGUUGGCCCA
rnacentral:tRNA from 1 species